rnacentral:rRNA from 1 species
GAUGAACGCUAGCGGGAGGCCUAACACAUGCAAGCCGAGCGGUAUUUGUUCUUCGGAACAGAGAGAGCGGCGUACGGGUGCGGAACACGUGUGCAACCUGCCUUUAUCAGGGGGAUAGCCUUUCGAAAGGAAGAUUAAUACCCCAUAAUAUAUUAAGUGGCAUCACUUGAUAUUGAAAACUCCGGUGGAUAGAGAUGGGCACGCGCAAGAUUAGAUAGUUGGUAGGGUAACGGCCUACCAAGUCAGUGAUCUUUAGGGGGUCUGAGAGGGUGAUCCCCCACACUGGUACUGAGACACGGACCAGACUCCUACGGGAGGCAGCAGUGAGGAAUAUUGGACAAUGGGUGAGAGCCUGAUCCAGCCAUCCCGCGUGAAGGACGACGGCCCUAUGGGUUGUAAACUUCUUUUGUAUAGGGAUAAACCUUUCCACGUGUGGAAAGCUGAAGGUACUAUACGAAUAAGCACCGGCUAACUCCGUGCCAGCAGCCGCGGUAAUGCGGAGGGUGCAAGCGUUAUCCGGAUUUAUCGGGUUUAAAGGGUCCGUAGGCGGAUCUGUAAGUCAGUGGUGAAAUCUCACAGCUUAACUGUGAAACUGCCAUUGAUACUGCAGGUCUUGAGUAAAGUAGGAGUGGCUGGAAUAAGUAGUGUAGCGGUGAAAUGCAUAGAUAUUACUUAGAACACCAAUUGCGAAGGCAGGUCACUAUGUUUUAACUGACGCUGAUGGACGAAAGCGUGGGGAGCGAACAGGAUUAGAUACCCUGGUAGUCCACGCCGUAAACGAUGCUAACUCGUUUUUGGGGCUUCGGCUUCAGAGACUAAGCGAAAGUGAUAAGUUAGCCACCUGGGGAGUACGUUCGCAAGAAUGAAACUCAAAGGAAUUGACGGGGGCCCGCACAAGCGGUGGAUUAUGUGGUUUAAUUCGAUGAUACGCGAGGAACCUUACCAAGGCUUAAAUGGGAAUUGAUCGGUUUAGAAAUAGACCUUCCUUCGGGCAAUUUUCAAGGUGCUGCAUGGUUGUCGUCAGCUCGUGCCGUGAGGUGUUAGGUUAAGUCCUGCAACGAGCGCAACCCCUGUCACUAGUUGCCAUCAUUAAGUUGGGGACUCUAGUGAGACUGCCUACGCAAGUAGAGAGGAAGGUGGGGAUGACGUCAAAUCAUCACGGCCCUUACGCCUUGGGCCACACACGUAAUACAAUGGCCGGUACAGAGGGCAGCUACACAGCGAUGUGAUGCAAAUCUCGAAAGCCGGUCUCAGUUCGGAUUGGAGUCUGCAACUCGACUCUAUGAAGCUGGAAUCGCUAGUAAUCGCGCAUCAGCCAUGGCGCGGUGAAUACGUUCCCGGGCCU